rnacentral:lncRNA from 1 species
AUUGCAUCAUCCUAGAAAACUUGGAGGCCAGUGAGGACAAAAAUAAAAAGUUAAAAGACUUUUAAAAAUGUGGAUAUUUGGGUCCUCUUUGGCACCCCCUAGAACGUAAACCGUGGGGUGCAGCGUCAUGAUUUGUACAACUUUGAAUGGCCAUGGGGUGUAGAUUGACCUGAGCAAAUUUGAAGCCGAUGGGACAAAAGCUUUAGGAGGAGUUAGCCACAUUCCAAUGUGUGCGAAUCGGCAAAAAAUGCGAAAUAGCCCUUUAACCGUACAUUGAACAGAUACGCUCGCAUUGACUUUUUCGUAGAUCUUAUUGAGAUACAUGUGUGUGUCAAAUUUUGUGUCAUUUUGACAAAGCGUAAAGGCGUGACAGUCAACAAUGUGUAUUUUCACCUUAGGAGACAAGAAAAAAUGGACUUUUUUCUCCUGCCAUGGGGGGGCGCUCUUUUGGCAAGUAAAAAUUCCUUCACAAAUGUGUUGAUGGCUGGACAUUGCAUCAUCCUAGAGAACUUGGAGGCCAGUGAGGACAAAAAUAAAAAGUUAUAAGACUUUUAAGACUGUGGAUUUUAGGGUUAUCUUUGGCGCCCCCUAGAACGUAAACCGUGGGGUGCAGCGUCAUGAUUUGUACAACUUUUAAUGGCCAUGGGGUGUAGAUUGGCCUGAGCAGAUGUGGUGCCGUUGGAACGAAAGCCUUCGGAGGAGUUAGCGAAAUUCCAAUGUGUGCGGAUCGGCAAAAAAUGCGAAAUAACCCUUUAACCGUACAUUUGACAGAUACGCCCGCACUGACUUUUUUGUAGAUCUUAUUGAGAUACAUGUGUGUGUCAAAUUUUGUGUCAUUUUGACAAAGCGUAAAGGCGUGACAGUCAACGAUGUGUAUUUUCGCCUUAGGAGACAAGAAAAAAUGGACAUUUUUCUCCUGCCAUGGGGGGGCGCUCUUUUGGCGAGUAAAAAUUCCUUCACAAAUGUGUUGAUGGCUGGACAUUGCAUCAUCCUAGAGAACUUGGAGGCCAGUGAGGACAAAAAUAAAAAGUUAUAAGACUUUUAAGACUGUGGAUUUUUGGGUUAUCUUUGGCGCCCCCUAGAACGUAAACCUUGGGGUGCAGCGUCAUGAUUUGUACAACUUUUAUUGGCCAUGGGGUGUAGAUUGGCCUGAGCAAAUGUGGUGCCGGUGGAACGAAAACCUUCGGAGGAGUUAGCGUAAUUCCAAUGUGUGCGGAUCGGCAAAAAAUGCGAAAUAAACCUUUAACCGUACAUUUGACAGAUACGCCCGCACUGACUUUUUUGUAGAUCUUAUUGAGAUACAUGUGUGUGUCAAUUUUUGUGUCAUUUUGACAAAGCGUACAGGCGUGACAGUGAAUACUGUGAAUUUUCACCUUAGGGGGCGCUAUGGAGCCAUUUUGCAUUUUCUUGUUUGGGCGACUUCGGAAUAUCAAAUUUUUCACCAGGCCCGGUCGUCCUGCCAAAUUUCAUGAGUUUUCGCCAGUGGGAAGUGGGCCAUUUUCCAGUUCAAAGGGGAGGAAAAAUAAUAACUAGGGCCCCGGUGGGGCACUGUCGGGCCUGAGCCGCGUCGCGCCGCCCCCAGUGCGACCGCCUCCCCGUCCCGAUCGAGUCACACUCAAGAACCAAAGAUGGUGUGCGCACUUGUCUGUGGUCAUUUCCCAUUAUAAUGAAUGGGAGGCGCAGUUUCUACCAAAACACUCGCUGCAGACAAACUUCAUGUCCUAUUUGAAAAAAGUCUGGACCAUGAGUGAGGGCACAAACACAGCUAUGAUAUAUCGAAAUGCCAGGUUGCUCCUCCUUACGGUGUUGCCUGGAGAGCGAUGCGAUUGAGCCAUUGAGCGAUGGGCAGGGAAAACUUGACUUUUUCUCCUGCCAUGGGGGGGGGAUGUGGAUUCUUUUAAGAAUGUGGAUUUUUGGGUCAUCUUUGGCGCCCCCUAGAACGUAAACCGUGGGGUGCAGCGUCAUGAUUUUUACAACUUUGAAUGGCCAUGGGGUAUAGAUUGGCCUGAGCAAAUUUGGUGUCAGUGGGACGAAAGCCUUAGGAGGAGUUAGCCACAUUCCAAUGUGUGCGAAUCGGCAAAAAAUGCAAAAUAGCCCUUUAACCGUACAUUUGACAGAUACGCACGAAUUGACUUUUUUGUAGAUCUUAUUGAGAUACAUAUGUGUGUCAAUUUUUGUGUCAAUAUGAUAAAGCGUACAGGCGUGACAGUCAAUAGUGUGAAUUUCCACCUUAGGGGACAAGAAAAAAUGGACUUUUUUCUCCUGCCAUGGGGGGCGCUCUUUUGGGGAGUAAAA